rnacentral:rRNA from 1 species
UACGGAGGGUGCAAGCGUUACUCGGAAUCACUGGGCGUAAAGCGCGCGCAGGCGGCUAGAUAAGUUGGAAGUGAAAUCCUAUGGCUCAACCAUAGAACUGCUUCCAAAACUGUUUAGCUAGAGUCUGGGAGGGGAAGAUGGAAUUAGUAGUGUAGGGGUAAAAUCCGUAGAGAUUACUAGGAAUACCAAAAGCGAAGGCGAUCUUCUGGAACAGUACUGACGCUGAGGCGCGAAAGCGUGGGGAGCAAACAGGAUUAGAUACCCUGGUAGUCCACGCCCUAAACGAUGAAUGUUAGUCGUCGGGACUCUAGUAGUUUCGGUGAUGCAGUUAACACAUUAAACAUUCCGCCUGGGGAGUACGGUCGCAAGAUUAAAACUCAAAGGAAUAGACGGGGACCCGCACAAGUGGUGGAGCAUGUGGUUUAAUUCGAAGAUACGCGAAGAACCUUACCUAGCCUUGACAUAUUUUAGAACUCCGCAGAGAUGUAGAGGUGCCUUCGGGAGCUAAUAUACAGGUGCUGCACGGCUGUCGUCAGCUCGUGUCGUGAGAUGUUGGGUUAAGUCCCGCAACGAGCGCAACCCUCGUUCUUAGUUACUAACGGUUCGGCCGAGGACUCUAAGAAGACUGCCUUCGUAAGGAGGAGGAAGGUGAGGACGACGUCAAGUCAUCAUGGCCCUUACGGCUAGGGCAACACACGUGCUACAAUGGUUAGGACAAUGAGACGCAAUACCGCGAGGUGGAGCAAAUCUAUAAACCUAAUCUCAGUUCGGAUUGUAGUCUGCAACUCGACUACAUGAAGCUGGAAUCACUAGUAAUC